rnacentral:rRNA from 1 species
AACGAACGCUGGCGGCAUGCCUAACACAUGCAAGUCGAACGAGACCUUCGGGUCUAGUGGCGCACGGGUGCGUAACGCGUGGGAACCUGCCCUUAGGUUCGGAAUAACUCCCCGAAAGGGGUGCUAAUACCGGAUAAUGUCUUCGGACCAAAGAUUUAUCGCCUUUGGAUGGGCCCGCGUUGGAUUAGCUAGUUGGUAGGGUAAAAGCCUACCAAGGCGACGAUCCAUAGCUGGUCUGAGAGGAUGAUCAGCCACACUGGGACUGAGACACGGCCCAGACUCCUACGGAAGGCAGCAGUGGGGAAUAUUGGACAGUGGGCGAAAGCCUGAUCCAGCAAUGCCGGGUGAGUGAUGAAGGCCUUAGGGUUGUAAAGCUCUUUUACCCGGGAUGAUAAUGACAGUACCGGGAGAAUAAGCUCCGGCUAACUCCGUG